CGGGGUCGAGCAAUUCUGCGAGUCCAUGACUGACAAUCCGAUUGUUCUAUCAAAUUCAACUUGCCAGAGCAACCAGGAUCUGUUCAACACAUUGACAGGGAGUGAAGCCAAUUUUUACGGCGACCUUCGAAUUUCUGAGGUCGCUUCGUGGGUGUCUCUGGGCACGUGGCUCGUACUUACAGGAGUGGCACUGAUAAGUAUUUGCGUCCGAGAUGAUGACAAGAACAUGGCUUAGUCUGGUUCCCAAGAGGACUAUGAUGUAGCAAUACAUGUGCUCGUCUGGAAUCAAGUCUUAAUAGGGACCUUUCGGGACGCAUGGUGGCAGCAGACAUACCAGGUCACAAAA